UGCGGUGGCCUAGUGGUUAGAGCAUCAGCCUCAAAUGCUGCAGGUCGCGGGUUCUAACCUCGCUGAGAGAUAACAA